UGGCUCAGUGGUUAAGAGCACUGGGCACUCUUCCAGAAGCCUUGGGUUCAAUUCCCAG
rnacentral:tRNA from 1 species